AUAUAUACCUAAAUAAUUUUAAUCAAUUAAUUACAGCAAAUGCGUCUAAAAGAAAGUAAAACAAAAAUUGCAUGUUUGCAGAAUCCCAGUUUUAUUUUGUUUACUGACGUGGACUUUCGUUCGAGAACGGAAACUAUAUAAAAAUGCAUCCCGACUAAUUCAGUCCCUCGAUGUAAUCGAUCUAUCCUAAUUGCGAGGUUAAUGAAAUAGUC
rnacentral:lncRNA from 1 species